rnacentral:rRNA from 1 species
UUGUCUCAAAGAUUAAGCCAUGCAUGUCUCAGUACAAGCCAAACUAAGGUGAAACCGCGAAAGGCUCAUUAAAUCAGUUAUGGUUCCUUAGAUCGUACCACAUCUACUUGGAUAACUGUGGUAAUUCUAGAGCUAAUACAUGCAAACAGAGCCCCGACCGGAGACGGGAGGGGCGCUUUUAUUAGAACAAAACCAAUCGGCGACGGGUUUGCGCUCGUCGUCGUACACUUUGGUGAAUCUGAAUAACUUUCUGCUGAUCGCACGGUCUCGCACCGGCGACGCAUCUUUCAAAUGUCUGCCUUAUCAACUGUCGAUGGUAGGCUCCGUGCCUACCAUGGUAGUAACGGGUAACGGGGAAUCAGGGUUCGAUUCCGGAGAGGGAGCCUGAGAAACGGCUACCACAUCCAAGGAAGGCAGCAGGCGCGCAAAUUACCCACUCCCGGCACGGGGAGGUAGUGACGAAAAAUAACGAUACGGGACUCAUCCGAGGCCCCGUAAUCGGAAUGAGUACACUCUAAAUCCUUUAACGAGGAUCAAUUGGAGGGCAAGUCUGGUGCCAGCAGCCGCGGUAAUUCCAGCUCCAAUAGCGUAUAUUAAAGUUGUUGCGGUUAAAAAGCUCGUAGUCGAAUCUGUGUCCCGCGCCGCCGGUUCAUCGCUCGCGGUGUCUAACUGGCGUGUUCGCGGGACGUCCUGCCGGUGGGCUUAGCUCGCAAGGGCGGCCCAACUUUGAAUCCCGCCGCGGUGCUCUUCACUGAGUGUCGAGGCGGGCCGGCACGUUUACUUUGAACAAAUUAGAGUGCUUAAAGCAGGCUGUAAUUUCGCCUGAAUACAGUGUGCAUGGAAUAAUGGAAUAGGACCUCGGUUCUAUUUUGUUGGUUUUCGGAACCCCGAGGUAAUGAUUAAUAGGAACGGAUGGGGGCAUUCGUAUUGCGACGUUAGAGGUGAAAUUCUUGGAUCGUCGCAAGACGGACAGAAGCGAAAGCAUUUGCCAAAAACGUUUUCAUUGAUCAAGAACGAAAGUUAGAGGUUCGAAGGCGAUCAGAUACCGCCCUAGUUCUAACCAUAAACGAUGCCAGCUAGCGAUCCGCCGACGUUCCUCCGAUGACUCGGCGGGCAGCUUUCGGGAAACCAAAGCUUUUGGGUUCCGGGGGAAGUAUGGUUGCAAAGCUGAAACUUAAAGGAAUUGACGGAAGGSGCACCACCAGGAGUGGAGCCUGCGGCUUAAUUUGACUCAACACGGGAAACCUCACCAGGCCCGGACACCGGAAGGAUUGACAGAUUGAGAGCUCUUUCUUGAUUCGGUGGGUGGUGGUGCAUGGCCGUUCUUAGUUGGUGGAGCGAUUUGUCUGGUUAAUUCCGAUAACGAACGAGACUCUAGCCUGUUAACUAGGCGUGCUUCCGACAUCUCGAAUUCCCGCCGGCCCGGCGUCCGCGUCGCGGUCGCGCGCGGUCUUUACUGUCGGCGUACAAACAAUUCUUCUUAGAGGGACAGGCGGCUUCUAGCCGCACGAGAUUGAGCAAUAACAGGUCUGUGAUGCCCUUAGAUGUUCUGGGCCGCACGCGCGCUACACUGAAGGAAUCAGCGUGUCUUCCCUGGCCGAGCGGUCCGGGUAACCCGCUGAACCUCCUUCGUGCUAGGGAUUGGGGCUUGCAAUUGUUCCCCAUGAACGAGGAAUUCCCAGUAAGCGCGAGUCAUAAGCUCGCGUUGAUUACGUCCCUGCCCUUUGUACACACCGCCCGUCGCUACUACCGAUUGAAUGAUUUAGUGAGGUCUUCGGACCGGCACGCGGUGGCGUUCCGACGUCGCCGAUGCUGCGGGGAAGAUGACCAAACUUGAUCAUUU